rnacentral:lncRNA from 1 species
ACAGGCGAGGGCGUUCGGCGACGUUACUGGGGCUGCACGGUGCUUGUAGCUGGGCAGUCUUAUCAUCAGAGUGGAGCCUGGUAACCACGACCUCCCCGCCAGGUCCUGUGUGUUGCUAGCUGGAGAAGGGUAGUUGAAAACUCAGACCAAGCACAGUGUUUAUAUCGGUCAAAACUGGAAAACUAUGUCCGGGCGCAGCCGAGGCUGGAGGAUCCCUUCAGGCCAAGAGCAACCUAGCAAUAUGGCGCGACCGGAUCUCUGUAGUCCUACCUCAACCCCCAGCUACUUGAACCCCAAGGUUGAAGGCUCCAGUGAGCUAUGAUCCCACCACAGCAUUGCAGCCUGCCAGACUGAGGGCUUGAGGAUCAGCCAGGUUUCAUGAGUUCAAUGCAGACCUGAAUCAUACCAAGCUGAGACUGGGGUACACACUCUCCUCUACUGAAAAGUAGUGAGGGAUUCCAACUUGGUGAGAGGGAGAGUGGGGGAGAGCCAGACCAGACAAGAGUGCUCACCUGGAAAAAGCCUGCCAUCAAAGGCCAUGACAUGAACUUAUGAAUUCAACACAUGAAGACUUACAACUUGAUAAACCAGCUUCAGGAGGUUCCUGAAAGGGAGAGAGGAAAUCUUCGAUUUUUCAUGGCUGUGAACCACUGCAAGUAUUGAAGAAAUAUUUACUACUUCCAGCCUCAUAAUCCUGCAGUCAUUUGGCACCUCUGAAGCCUUGGGGAGCACUGAAGCCAAGGCUGCACCGUACCAAAAAUUUGAAACAUGUGAAUGAGCUGAAUGUGGAAGGACUACCGGAAAACACUCCUUUCAGAAUCCCCUCAUUGCAUGAAAUCCCAAGGCUCGAAAACAUCUUUCAAGUGAGCAAUUGAAUUAAGUUUGUUAUUAAGAGUAACUCCAGUUAGCCUCCAUUGUCUCCAAGCCGGCUUUUGUCCUCAUCCACAACGCCUCCACACAAGCUCUGAACACCUGUCCAUUGCUAACUUGAGACUGCCAUGCUGUUAGGAAGUUCAAGUUCACCACAUGGAGAUGAAAUAAGAUAUCAUGAUAAACAUCCCCAGCUGAUCCCAGCCUCCAGUGAUCCAUCAACUACAUAUAUGAUCCUAAGUCACAUGUGUGACCCCGAGCAAGAUCAGCAGAACAAUCACUCAGCCAACCCACAGAACCCUGAAAAAAUAUAAAUCAUUAUAGUUUAAACCACAAGUUUUGGGUAGCUUGUUAUGCUGCUAUUGAUAAUUAAAACAAACUGGAAUAUUUUCAUCUA